rnacentral:rRNA from 1 species
UACGAAGGGGGCUAGCGUUGCUCGGAAUUACUGGGCGUAAAGCGUGCGCAGGCGGCUUCUCAAGUCAGGGGUGAAAGCCCAGAGCUCAACUCUGGAAUUGCCUUUGAGACUGAGUGGCUUGAGUACGAGAGAGGUGAGUGGAAUUCCCAGUGUAGAGGUGAAAUUCGUAGAUAUGUGGAGGAACACCAGUGGCGAAGGCGACUCUCUGGUCUGUAACUGACGCUGAGGCGCGAAAGCGUGGGGAGCAAACAGG